GAUGAACGCUGGCGGCGUGCUUAACACAUGCAAGUCGAACGGAAGGGCCAUGCUUUUGUGGGGUGCUCGUGUGGCGAACGGGUGAGUAAAACGUGAGUAACCUGUCCUUGUCUUUGGGAUAUCUUCAGGAAACUGGGGCUCAUACCGCAUAGGAGCUCCUGAAGCACGUUGGGGGUUGGAAAGAUUCGGCGGUUGGGGCUGGUCUAGCGGCUUAUGCGCUUGAUGGUCGGGUAGUGGCUGUCAAAGGCUGCGACGGAUAGGCGGCCUGAGAGCGUGGACAGCCACAAUGGGACUGAGAUACGGCCCAGUCUGCUACGUGCGGCAGCAGUCGAGAAUAUGGCGCAGUGAGGGGAAGCGUGAGGCGACGGCGCCGCGUGCGUAAUAACGUCCUACUGGGGGUGAACCGCUUUGUCCGGAGCCGAGGCGUGAGUGACGGUAACUGGUAAGAAAGCACCGGCUAACUACGUG
rnacentral:rRNA from 1 species